GAAAGGCGGGCUAAUACCGAAUGACAUCUUGAAAAUUUAUGUUUUCAGGAUCAAAGGUGGCCUCUACAUGUAAGCUACUGUUUGGGGAUGAGCCCGCGUACCAUUAGCUUGUUGGUAGGGUAAUGGCCUACCAAGGCUACGAUGGUUAGCUGGUCUGAGAGGAUGAUCAGCCACACUGGAACUGACACACGGUCCAGACUCCUACGGGAGGCAGCAGUGAGGAAUUUUGCGCAAUGGGGGAAACCCUGACGCAGCAACGCCGCGUGAGUGAUGAAGGCUUUCGGGUCGUAAAGCUCUGUCAAGUGGGAAGAAUCCAUAUGGUGUUAAUACUGCCAUAUGCUGACGGUACCACUGAAGGAAGCACCGGCUAACUCCGUGCCAGCAGCCGCGGUAAUACGGGGGGUGCGAGCGUUAUUCGGAAUUACUGGGCGUAAAGAGCGCGUAGGCGGUCUUUUAAGUCAGGUGUGNAAAGCCCGGGGCUCAACCCCGGAAGUGCACUUGAAACUA
rnacentral:rRNA from 1 species